GACGAACGCUGGCGGCGCGCCUAACACAUGCGAGUCGAACGAGCGAGAGAGAGCUUGCUUUCUCGAGCGAGUGGCGAACGGGUGAGUAACGCGUGAGGAACCUGCCUCAAAGAGGGGGACAACAGUUGGAAACGACUGCUAAUACCGCAUAAGCCCACGGGUCGGCAUCGACCAGAGGGAAAAGGAGCAAUCCGCUUUGAGAUGGCCUCGCGUCCGAUUAGCUAGUUGGUGAGGUAACGGCCCACCAAGGCAACGAUCGGUAGCCGGACUGAGAGGUUGAACGGCCACAGUGGGACUGAGACACGGCCCAGACUCCUACGGGAGGCAGCAGUGGGGAAUAUUGCACAAUGGGGGAAACCCUGAUGCAGCGACGCCGCGUGGAGGAAGAAGGUCUUCGGAUUGUAAACUCCUGUUGUUGGGGAAGAUAAUGACGGUACCCAACAAGGAAGUGACGGCUAACUACGUG
rnacentral:rRNA from 1 species